AGGUCAUCGCAUAUGAAACCUAAAUCUUGUAAGUCAUAAUCUGAUAUUAUUUGUUCCAGAUCUGAAGCACUAUUUUUAUUGGAUGAACCAUUAUAACCCUGGGUGUCCCGAUUUGGUUCUCGAGUUACGUUAAAGUCCCCCGCUAAUAAUAAUUCCUUUCCGUCUAAAGGGCCAACUCCUCUGACCAGUUAUGAAAACCAAUUUUUAGAAGCAUGGUUUGGGCCAUAAACUGAGAACAAUGUUGUUGGGGUUCCAAGGAAAUCCGAAUCGACGACAAUGUAAUUACUUCACGGGGCAGUUGCUCUUUCUAAUGUGUUUUAAUUUCACGGAUUAGCACUGUUACUCUCCUUGAGGGACAUGACAAAUAUCCUAAGUAGUUCUAGGAGGAUUCGGCUUGUGAAGCUUUUGCCUUGUGACGAGCUUGCCUUGUACUGUUUUUUCGCCUUGGGACUUUUUUGCCUUGGAUAAUAGAAGAGGAAAUGAUGGUUAUUCUUAGUUGUAUAUUUUUUAUUUGAAUUUUUACUGCUAUAUUCCAGCUUUGAGAAAUUAGAAACAAAAAGGAGAACAGUCUAGUCAAUCACAAUUCUUAAACCUUAAUACGCAGGAUUCAAAGCAUUGGGAAAGAAUCACGGAAUGCUACUGCUACGGUCCGUUGCAAUGAAUCAUUGGCAUUCAUAUGCAGUUUAUUUCUUCAUCAAAAUACCAUGAAAAGAUAUUGAUAUCAUUACUUACAUCAAUGAUUCUACUAGAGUUAUUGGUCAAGAUGGAGACCUUGUCAAUGGAAGUCAACAUGCAUAUGUGAAUAUGAUAUAUAUAUAUUCAUAUCAUAUAUCAUCAUACCUCAUUAACUUAUGAGGUAUCACAAUCGUUCUGGAUGAAAGACCAAUGGCCAGGUAACAGCCCUGACUUGAAUCUGAUAGAAAUCUGUGGACAUUUAUGAAGGAGAAGUGCAAGAGCCUGACCACUAGCACAUACAAAGAGAAGCUCAUACAGUAAGUCAAAACUGUCUGGCACCCCGAAAUCUGAGAGAAUCUGGUUGCAAGCAUGUCUGGCAGAAUCAGGGAAGUCAUCAAGAACAUUAAUCGGUAGAUUUUUCUAUUGUCAUUCCUUUUUUCCUAUGAAAUACACGGUAGUUUCUCCAGCGACAAUCUUUUUGUGUCGCACCUAAUAUAUAUGAACAGUCAGAAAUCCCUUUUGAUUCUAUAAUACAAUAAAUUAUGAUAUAUAUUUUAGCUUUAUUUUUGUAUUAAAAGAAACUGUAUUGAAUCAUUAUAAUUAAAUCAAUAAAUAUUAACAAUUUCAGGAACUAGAUAACUUGAGGCAUAAUUCAGAAUAAUUUUUUGGCAUUGUAUAGGAGAAAAACAGGAUAAAAAAUUCUCAAUUUUAUGAGAAUUUCCUUAAAAUCACCAUCAAGGGCUUUUGAAAUUGUAAUUCACGGUGAUUUGUACAAAGAAUCAUUCAAUACAUGUAUGAACUUCUUUUGGUUAGGUCUGAAUGUAUGAUCUAUUUGCUGUUCACAUCCAAUCUCCAGACAUACCCUGAGUUGAUGAAAACUUCCUGUUUGUUAAAGAAUAACUAAAGCAAGGAUUUUUACAAAUCUGUCUGAAUUAAUUGAAAGGUUGACUAGUAGUAUCAAUGAGAUUUUUAGAAUUAUUGUUUUUUUCUUCAUUUUAAAUAUUUACUUAUUCCAUCGAAUAUUCGUGAAGCUUUUGUAAUGCUAUAAUCUGGAACGUAGCAGUCGUUAGUAACUUGAAAUUAUCUUUUUUUGUAGCCUAUAUCUGAUCCUAAAUAAAACUUAUUUAUUGUUAUUAGCCAUUUCCAAAAAGAUUGUCGUUACUAUAUAGAUUGUAAAGAAGUGAGGGGCGUACUUCCACAUGGCCCACUGGUGCCAUGGAAACUGUACUACAAAUUACUUAUUGAUUUACAGAAUAUAUAAAAUUUAUCUUGAACGGUAUAAAUACAUAGGUAUAUGUCGAAAAUAAAACAGAAAGAAAAUUAUUAUAAAAUUUUAUAUUAACACCCCUCCCUACUAUUAUUUUCCCGGUGCAUAUGUCAAGUUUAAAGAUUAUAUGAUAUAGAUUCAACGAGUUAAUGGUUACCUGGACUGGAUUCAAAUUUUGUUGAAUGACCAUGAUUUCUGACAAAAGUAGUUCAUUCUUCAAAAUAUUUUUUUAUUUUUAGAUUACAUCUUUGUUUUCAUCUAUAACAUUAAUAUACUGUUUGACUGAAUUGAAGUCCAUGGCGUAAUAGUGAAUAGUUUUAUAUAACAUGAAUUCUAAAAAAAUUAUUCACUUCAAAGAUGAUAAUUUUUGUAUUUUAUAAGUAACCAGGCAGAGAAUAUAUAUUCUGUUCUGUCUAUAAGUGUAACAACUGAUAUCCAAUAUAUUUGGAAAAUGUUGUUACAGGAUUUUAGCUGCUUUAAUGUAAUACCCUGCUCCAUUGGCUAUGAAAACCUUCACUAUUUUGUCUCUGAAAUUGGAGGUAAGAACGUUGAUGUCAUUUUUAUUGAAUAAGUUUCGUUGAUAUAAUUAAUAA
rnacentral:lncRNA from 1 species